rnacentral:rRNA from 1 species
UACGGAGGGUGCGAGCGUUAAUCGGAAUUACUGGGCGUAAAGCGCACGCAGGCGGUUUGUUAAGCUAGAUGUGAAAGCCCCGGGCUCAACCUGGGAUGGUCAUUUAGAACUGGCAGACUAGAGUCUUGGAGAGGGGAGUGGAAUUCCAGGUGUAGCGGUGAAAUGCGUAGAUAUCUGAAGGAACAUCAGUGGCGAAGGCGACUCCCUGACCAAAGACUGACGCUCAUGUGCGAAAGUGUGGGUAGCGAACAGG